GACCACGACACAAAAAAACAGAAAAACACAAACCCAGGAACCUGAACCCGGUACAUUGAAAGCGAUACAUUUUUCCUUUCACUGCUACGCCGACGACACACAGCUCUAUGUCAAUACCACAGCUGCCACCCCACCUUUAACAUCACCGUCAUCCCCAUCAAAACUCACCACGUGUCUGGAGGAGAUAAAGGGAUGGAUGGAGCACAAUUUCCUCUAACUCAACAGCUCCAAAACCGAAGCCAUCCUGGUCGGCACCUCUCACCAGACCAAAUCAUCAUCCAUAACCAGCAUCCCCUUUUCUGGCUCAAAUAUCCCUCUCUCAUCAACAGUCACAAAUCUUGGUGUAAAAAUUGACCCCCAACUCACUUUUGAAUCGCAUAUCAACCACUUCUGCAAGACCUCCUUCUAUCACCUCCGCAACAUUUCCAAACUCCGCCCCAUUCUCUCCCUCUCAGACUCCGAAAAACUAGUUCAUGCCUUUAUCUCCUCCAGACUGGACUACUGUGACGCACUACUCAUCGGGAUCCCUAGCAAGAGCCUGCAGGGACUCCAAUACAUACAAAACUCUGCAGCUAGGAUCCUGAUGAGAGUGCGCAAGCAUGAGCACAUUACCCCCAUCCUCCACUCACUCCACUGGCUUCCGGGUUCCACCAGGAUUGAGUAUAAGGUUUCCCUCCUCACUCACCAAUGUAUCCAUGGACAUGCCCCCCCCUACCUCAAAGAACUUCUCAUCUAACAUAACACAACACGCUCCCUCCGCUCCACUCACUCUAACCUCCUCCACAUACCCAGAACCAAACGUAGGACCAUGGGAGAUAGGGCCUUCAGUGCUGCCGCUCCACGCCUGUGGAACGCCCUCCCUGACGCCUUGAGGGCACCACAAUCCACUGAUUGUUUUAAAAAGGUCAUAAAACAUAUUUUUAAGAAAACUUUUGGCUCCCACUCUUAGAUGUUUUUAAACCCCUUUUAUUUUUAUAAUAAAUAUAUACAUCUUUAUUUUUUUAACAACACUGCUUUUAACCCGUAGCCCAUUGAGAUUUUCGAAUGAAAAGGGCAAUAUAAAUGAAAUGUAUUAUUAUAUUAAAGCAGCGAGAGAGAGAGCGAUUACCACAAGUUGUUGGCCCUGUAGUUUGUUAUCAAGGUGUGAGAUUCUCAAUGCAAAUUUGUAGCAAUGUCUGUGACUGCAUGCCCCCUCAGUAGCUGUCAACUCAACCUAGGGGACUUUUGCUGGCCUCGUCCAAACAUAAAAGAUGCAGGGUGUUGGGAUUGCAAAUACAGGCUUAUUGUCAUUUUGCAUAUAAUGCUACAUGGAUCUGGUGCUCCAUGUUGCCAUGCAAGAGAUCUCUUUCUCUGAGUGUGUGUGGUGAUGACUGUGCAAAUUGAUUAGUCAAUGUGCAACUGGUGUGCAUUCUCACCCAGCUCAAAAAGAGAGAGAGAGAGAGAGAGAGAGAGAGAGAGAGAGAGAGAGAGAGAGAGAGAGAGAGAGAGAGAGAGAGAGAGAGAGAGAGAGAGAGAGAGAGAGAGGGGGGGGGGGGGGGGGGGGGGGGGUUGGGGGGGAGGGCAGACAGCCAUACACCAGACAAAGAUGGAGCACUCCCACGUCAAGCGGGGUCUGUGGGGGUUGCGGAGAACGAGACAGAGAGAAAACGCUUGCCAAUAAAUCUCUGACAUUCUUCCCUUUUUUGCCCAAAGAACCUCCUGUGAUGACGAUGAUGCAUGGCCUUGUCAUAAUUACUCCGCUCCCUGGCUAAGCAGCGGCUUCAGACAAAGAAAAAGUACAUCCGAGGGAAACGGGGUGGAAGUUAAACAAAGAAACCUUUUCUUUUAAUGAUUUGAUGAAAUGACAAGUGUGCUCCCGUUCAUUUCAGACCCUGGUCCUUACACUUAUAGUGACCCAGACAUAGGGAUGCAUCACUGCAGUAGUAGCCGGUUGGUUGCAAGUGGCAUAUAUUUGCUUAGGUUUCAAACUGAUAAUGCAGACUGACGUUAAAUGAUAGUAAUUUUCAUAAUACUGAGUAAUAUUUGCUAUGGUACGGACAGCAAUUUUUGCUGUGGUACAGACACCAAAACUAGAGUUGCUGGGAUACUUUGAAUGCUAGCAUCAUGUGUAGUAUUGCGUGAUACAGAGGAGUCUUACAAAUAGGUAACUAUAAGGCUUAAUUUUACACCACUGGGAUAUGCUCAGCGUUUUAAUGGUUUUACUCAGGUCUCAUGACCUGACUUAUAUGCCUCGACAGCAUCAGAAAGUCAACUUGUAUUUAUAUAUAGAGCAACACAUCUUUUUACACUGUCUUGUAUAGUGUUGACUCAAGUUUACUUCUGCAUUUCAGUUUAAAAAGAAUACAAUAGAAACUCACAAAAACAAAAGUUGUGAAAGAGUAGUCUUCUAAAGAAUAGGGAGCCUGUUAAGCCCUAGGCCUAUUUCACAGGCCUCCUGCCCGAAAUGACAUGCCCAAAAUGAAUAGAGUAUGCCUCCACAACUACAAGGUGCUACAUGAAUAAAGUUGGUUUCAAAAAGAAGGUAACAUCUGUGAGGUGGCUGCAGAAGUGUUAGAAUCAACAUAGAUGUUACUAUGUCAGAGUAAAUUCAGUUAGAUAAUAGUAAGAAAUGUAAAUUUUCAAUUUUCGCCUUCAUUUACAUUUAGGGCAUUUAGCAGACGCUUUUAUCCAAAGACAAACAUUUGUCAUAAGAAGUGCAACAAUAUAUCGCUGUCGGUACAGUAAGGAUGUUCAUAGAACUAGUACAACAAUCGCUAGGCUAACCAAUUCCCCGUGUUACAGCAA